rnacentral:rRNA from 1 species
UACGGAGGGUGCAAGCGUUAUCCGGAUUUACGUGGGUUAAAGGGUGCGCAGGCGGAUAUGUAAGUCAGUGGUGAAAUCUUUGGGCUUAAACCCGAAAAUUGCCAUUGAUGACUAUAUAUCUUGAAUGCGUGUGGAGGUAAGCGGGAAUAUGGUCAUGUAGCGGUGAAAUGCUUAGAGAUGACAUAGAACACCUAUGCGAAGGCAGCUCUAGCAGAGAUUGACGCUCAUGCACGAAAGCGUGGGGAUCAAACAGG